rnacentral:rRNA from 1 species
AUUGAACGCUGGCGGCAGGCUUAACACAUGCAAGUCGAGCGAGCGGCGGACGGGUGAGUAAUGUCUGGGAAACUGCCUGGUGGAGGGGGAUAACUACUGGAAACGGUAGCUAAUACCGCAUACCAUCAGAUGUGCCCAGAUGGGAUGAGCUAGUAGGUUGGGUAAUGGCGGACCUAGGCGACGAUCCCUAGCUGGUCUGAGAGGAUGACCAGCCACACUGGAAUGGAGAGACGGUCCAGACUCCUACGGGAGGCAGCAGGGGGGAAUAUUGGACAAUGGGCGCAAGCCGGACACAGCCAUGCCGCGUGUGUGAAGAAGGCCUUCGGGUUGUAAAGCACUUUCAGAGAGGAUGCGGUACUCGCAGAAGAAGCACCGGCUAACUACGUGCCAGCAGCCGCGGUAAUUC